rnacentral:lncRNA from 1 species
GCCCCUUGGCCGCUGGAAUAUCUCUGCCUGGCCUUAUAUAAAGGAACGCCGCCGGCCGCCGAGCUCCGGGCAAACGGAGCGCCCGGCGGGAGCACCAGCACCGCCGCCAGCAGCAGCAGCGGCGGCAGCAGCGGCAGCAAGGGCACCGGGAGGGCUCCGCUCCCUCCUCCUCCGCCGCCGCUUCCCAGGUCUCUCCUGACUGCUGCUUUGCCCGAGUGGCUGGAAGACUCAUACGUGGUUUGCUGUAAGGCACACCACGGCAUGCAAGCACCUGGCGUGCAAUAGCAGCUCUUAUUUUUAACGAGCCUUAGGGGCAGCAGGCGUAUGAGGGUGCCUGCUCCCAUGUUCCAUAAACUACGUCUCUGUCAAGGCACCAGACUUGGUAGUAAAAGAGCAGGAAGCAGCAUCAGCAGAGGUGUGGUCUGCAGAGGAGUUGGGGAAAUCCAGCGUGCUACGCCGUAGCUCUGGAGACAAACCCAACCUUCCUGUGGAAGAGAGGCAGCGAAGCCCCACCACCUGAAGCACCGAGCGCCCGCUGCUUGGUGCCACCAGCCCUGGGCUCUGGGGACAUGGGUGCAGCUGGGUG